CAAGACGUAGCUAUAACCCAAAGCAUUCAGCUUACACCUGAAAGAUAUCUACACCAUAGAUCGUCUUGA
rnacentral:tRNA from 1 species